rnacentral:ncRNA from 1 species
ACCCUUAUCCUUGUUUGCCAGCACGUAAUGGUGGGAACUCCAGGGAGACUGCCGGUGAUAAACCGGAGGAAGGUGGGGACGACGUCAAGUCAUCAUGGCCCUUACGAGUAGGGCUACACACGUGCUACAAUGGCGUAUACAGAGGGCUGCCAACCAGCGAUGGUGAGCGAAUCCCAGAAAGUACGUCGUAGUCCGGAUUGGAGUCUGCAACUCGACUCCAUGAAGUCGGAAUCGCUAGUAAUCGUGAAUCAGAAUGUCACGGUGAAUACGUUCCCGGGCCUUGUACACACCGCCCGUCACACCAUGGGAGUGGGCUGCACCAGAAGUAGAUAGCUUAACCUUCGGGAGGGCGUUUACCACGGUGUGGUUCAUGACUGGGGUGAAGUCGUAACAAGGUAGCCCUAGGGGAACCUGGGGCUGGAUCACCUCCUUA